GAUGAUGAGAAUUGUGUUUGUUAUAAAUACCGUGUGCACAUGUGUCUCCUUAAGAGAAUUCUAGAGUUUUCCUUCUGUUCACACAUUCAACAUGCUGGUGCAAAAGCUAAGCUGGAUCGCUGUGCUGCUCGUACUGUGUCAACAUGGUGUAGAAGCAAAAAGGAUAGUUGCCUGUGAAGGAACAUCUGCAUUUCC